rnacentral:lncRNA from 1 species
UGGUGCCCAAAACCGCAUGCAGCAGUAGUCAAUAUGAAUAGUGAACUGAAAAAUGUUCAGCAUCUCUAUUAAAAGGCGAUGACCUGGCUGUGGCCAUCAGUUGAGGAAGACAGAGCAGUGCUCCACACUGGGAUGUCUUCAGGUAGAGAUAAACUGGUGAAAUGACAGACCUCUGAAAACCAGCAUUCUGGAAACCCAGCAGUGGGAAUUUUGCCACAGUGGAACUGGGAUAGAGCAGGAAUAUGAUCUUGUUGGCAGGUUUGCACUGCUGUUGUCUGAUGGAGGUUAUGCCUACUUUGCUCCACUGGCAUUAGCCAUGGUGCUGUAUGGGGAGAGAGACUGCCCAUGACAGAAGCAUCACUGUUAUACAGUUCCUCACUCAAUUCAAUCUCCCUGCUGAUCACCAUUGGAGAGCAGAUUGCAACUUGGGGAAGUGAUGUUGGUGGCAGUGCUGCAGCUCUGUAGGUUCAGUCAUGCUAGAGAUUAGGUCUGCUUCAAGCUGUCUCAUGUCCAUGCCCUUCCUCUGAUCCCAAUCAUUAAAAGAUAAGAUUUCUUGAAAUAUCAGCAAUUUUUUUGCCCCCCCCCCUGGCUGGAGCAAACCACUUAGCAUACAGAUGUGGGAACACUUGAAUAGGUUUUCAGUGGAAAAGAAAUGCUGAGCUCCUAAGAUGUAUAAUUUAUACAGACUAAUCAUCUUUCACCUGCAGAGUGCUGGUAAAUGCUGCUUUUGUACCGUGGUCAAGGGCAUGCAUCAAUAAGCCGGAAAAAAGGGAUGUGGUGACAGUAUUUGUUUCUUCUGAGGAAAAAAAAAAAAAAAAACAGAAUAAAAAUAAGAAUACGCAUCAGAGAGGAAGAGUCCUGGCUUCUCAGAGUUUCCCUAAUGUGCACUUGGUUUAAAACUUUCUUCUUUUUUCUUUGAGGACAGUGUUGCAGGUUUUGAACUACGUACUUUUCAAAAAAAGAUUGAGUAAGGAAGCAUGGCAAUGUGAGGACAGCUCCUUUCUCAGCCCCUCCCGGACGUACCACACAGUAAGGAGCAUGCGUUAAUUGCUGGCUGCAAAAACACAGGGAUACCAAGCACCUCAAGUUUUGCUGUAAGACUAGGAGCCACAGAGCAGUGAGGAUUUAUGCAUCUGGAAUAGAACUAUGAAUGGGAUUGCAGGAUUUACAUGGAGGACUCUGAAAUCCCUCACUUCCUGCUCCAGGAAGGGUAGGUGAAUGGGAUAAUUCAUAAUUAACUUGGUCCUUACUUCAGAAGGUUGUUAGUCAAAACAGGAAGAUAUAAUUCAGAUGAAUGUAUGUGAGAAUAGAAGAGACUUCAGAUGCAGACACACCCCUUAAUUGCAAACACCAGACUUCAGAAUUUUCUGUUCCUGUUUAGUGGAAAGAGGGUUCCCAUAAAGAGUAGCAUGAGGUUGCUACAAAUUACCCCUCCCUCAGCCUGAUCCCCCAGCUGAUACAGAGCUUUUGUAUUUGGUAGCUUUUCACCCAAAGUUGGAGAGUUCUGAAAUGAUGUAAGGGGACUAGAGAUGCACAAGUUGUUCCUAGCAGCUGCAGCCCAGGUUUGGGUUUCUCUUGCAUCCAUCUCUUACUUCUUCACUGCCCACAGAAGGGAAGAGAGAAAUCAGGAGCCAAACCCUUUGGAUCGGUGUGAGUUCACUUCCGGCUCUUUCUUUGUUUCUCACUGAUGCAUAGGGCCAUUAUGAGAGAAUGGCACAUAACUGAUAUUGAAACUAAAUCAUUUCUUUCUUGUUUCUUUCUACCUUGAAAGUAUUUAAUGCAUACAGACUUCAAGUUUUGAUCUGUGAAUGAGAUCUAUGCUUCUUAGUACAAUCUGUUCAGCAGGAGUAGAUACAACUUCUGUUGUAAAAGUGUAAGACUGUGGAGCUCUUAAAAUUUUUGCAGGGGUUCACAAUUCAUCCACGUAGGGUGGAUCAGGAUUUUGUUUGUAAUUCUGUGUAAGUAAUGAUGUUGAACAGUGCCUACGAGUGUGAACUCUGGAUAGCAGAUAUCACUAUCUGCAUAACUCCUGAGGCAAGCUGUGACACAAUAGUAAAGAACUAGUAAAAUUGAACUCUAACACAAGAACUAGUAAAACUGAGCUCUAAUGCAGGCAGAUUAGCAGCAGAAUCUUUGUAUUAAUUUGAAUGUUCUAAUAGCAUAGGUUUGUUUUGUCUAUUUAAGCAGGGCUAAAAAUAGAAGCUGCAUCAUCCAGGGCAGCGUGGGAUGGCUUCCUAAAUGAGUCUUUCCCUUACAUGAGUGAGGACAGAUAAUCCCCCCAAAAAGACAUGAGUCUGGGCAGGACUUCAGAAAGCCAGCACUGAGAUGUUGUCACACUUCCUACAGCACUGCAACCCAGAGGGAAUGGGACAGGAGGAAUGGUUCUGAUGAUGAUACUAUUGCCUUCAAGAUGCUAGGGAGGAAGUCUGAAGCUUUUCUUGAACCACAAAUCUGCAACUCAUGGAGAGGAAGGAGAAGUGUAUAGUGAGGUGGAGCAGGUUACAGCAAGGUGUGGGUGCAUCUUGGCACAUGGAGGGGGAGCAGGACAGGCAGCAGAACAGCAACGCUGUCAGUAGUAUGUUGGAGUGGCUGGAGCUCUGUGAGCAGAGGAAGAAAGCAAAUGCAAGCGACUUCUCCAGAAGAAGGAGUGGGAUGAAAGGAUGCAGUAGGGUGAAGAGGGUGGGAGUAUUCCUGUUGAAUGAUAUACAACAAAUACUUUCUUCCCUCUGUAGGUGUUUUUUGCUGGGCUGUAUUUGAGUGUAAAUUUGAGAAUCUCCAUCCUCUGCAGAGAGAGAAAAAGUGAAGUAAAGGUUGAGAGCCAGGAAUAAAACUUUUGUGAACUGGAGGAAAAAUCAGGGGUGAAAAGUGUACAGGCAAUAAUAACAAAAAAUAUUUUUUUGGAGGGGAAAUUUGCAAGAUAGGGGAUGGGAAGGAUGGGAAAGCAUCGUCACACUGCCCUCAAAUGUUUGGUUUGGUAGAAGGGGACUGGGGAAGCAACAUUCCUCCCACUGUAAGCAAGGAUCAGGUUUGUGACUGCCUGAGGAAUAUGAACAUCCUGAAAACCUACAGGUCUUGAUGAGGUACAUCCCAGAGUCCAAAGGAAAUUGGCUGAUGUGGUGGCCAACCCACUCUAUGGUACUGGAAAGGUCAUGGCAAUCAGGUGAUGUUUGGAUGAUGGAAAAAAGGCAACAUCACAACAAUUUUUAAGGGUAAAAAGGAUUACCUUCAGUGGACUGAUCAGUAGACAAAGAACUGGCUGCAGGAUCUAGUCCAGAGAGUGAUGGUCUAUGGCUCAAUGUCAGGUUGGAGAUCAGUGACAAGUGAUGUCCCCUAAGGGUCCGUACUGGGACCAAUACUCUUUAAUAUCUUCAUCAGUAAUGCUGACAGUGGGGUGGAGUGCACUCUCAGCAAGUCUGCUGAUGACACCAAGCUGUGGGGUACAAUUGACACACCAGAGGGAUGGGAUGCAAUCCAGAGGGAUUUAGACAGUCUUGAACAGAGGGCCCAGGAGAACCUCAUGAGGUUCAACAAAUCCAAAUGCAUGGUAUUGCACCUCAGUUGAGUCAACAUCUUGUACCAAUACAAGCUAGGAGAUGAAAGGUCUGAGCACAGCCCUGGUGAAAAAUACCUGGGGGUACUGGUGGAUGGCAAGCUGGACAUGAGCCAGCAGUGUGCCCUCACAGCCCAGAAAGUCAACCAUACCCUGGGCUGUAUCAAAAGAUGCAUGACCAGCAGGUCGAGGGAGGUGAUCCUGCCCCUCUGCUGUGCACUGCUGAGGCCUCACUGGGAGUAUUGCAUCCACAUGUGGAGUGCUCAGUACCGGAGAGCUCUGCGCUCAUUUUCUCCAGAUUGGAGAGAGAUGGAUUUGAUGAGUGGACUGUUUGAUGGACAAAGAACUGGCUGUGGGAUCAAGUCCAGAGAGUAGUGGUCAAUGCCUCAGUGUCUGGACGGAAGAUCUGUGACGAGCACUGUCCCCCAGGGCAUCAGUGCUGGGAUCCAUACUCUUUACUGUCUUCCUCAGUGAUGCUGACAGUGGGGUCGAGUGAACCCUCAGUUAGUCUGCUGAUGAUGCCAAGCUGUCGGGUGCAGCCAAGACACCAGAGGAAUGGGAUGCCAUCCAGGGAGACCUAGACAGGCUUGAGCAGUGGGCCCAGGUGAAUCUCAUGAUGUUCAACAACUACAGAACGGCAGUCCUGAAUAACCGAGGAUGUCCCAGUGUACUGGAGAUGAGCAAAUGUGAUGCCCAUCUUCAAAAAUGGCCAGAAAGAUGAUCCUGGUAGCUACAUACCUAUAGACCUCAGUCUCACCUCAGUGCCCGGGAAAGUUAUGGAACGGAUAAUCUUGGGAGCCAUCAUGGACCAAUUAAACAUCAACCAGGGAAUCAGGCCCAGGCAGCAUGGGUUUACGAAUGGUAGGUCCUGUCUGACAAACCUGAUUUCAUUCUAUGACAAGGUGACCCGCUUAGUGGAUGAAGGUAAGGCUGUCGAUGUGGUCUACCUGGACUUCAGUAAAGCCUUUGACACUGCCCCCCACAGCAUUCUUAGUGGGAAGCUGGCUGCUCACGGUUUGGAUGGGCGUAUGCUCCGCUGGGUGAAACACUGGCUGUAUGGCCGGGCCCAAAGAGUUGUGGUCAAUGGAAUUAAAUCCAGUUGGCAGCUGGUCACGAGCGGUGUCCCCCAGGGUUCGCUACUGGGGCCACUUCUGUUUAACAUCCUUAUUAACAGUCCUGAUGAGGGGAUUGAGUGCACCCUCAGUAAGUUUGCAGAUGACACCAAGUUGGGAGGGAGUGUUGAUUUGCCAGAGGGGAGAAAGGCACUACAGAGGGACCUGGAUAGACUGGAUUGAUGGGCCAAGGUUAACUGUAUGAGUUUCAACAGGGCCAAGUGUCGGGUCCUUCAUUUUGGUCACAACAGCCCCAGGCAACCCUACAGGCUUGGGGAGGAGUGGCUGGAAAGCUGCCUGAUGGAAAGGGACCUCGGUGUACUGAUGGACAGUUGGCUGAAUAGGAGCUAGCAGUGUGCCCAGGUGGCCAAGAAGGUCAGUGGCAUCCUGGUUUGUAUCACGAAUGGUGCGGUGAGCAGGGCUGGGGAAGUAAUCCUGUCCCUGUACUUGGCACUUGUGAGGCCUCACCUCGAGUACCAUGUUCAGUUUUGGGCACUUCAGUACAGAAAGGACAUUGAGGUGCUGGAGCAGGUCCAAAGAAGGGCAACAAGGCUUGUGAAGGGCUUGGAGAAUAUGUCCUAUGAGGAGCGACUGAAGGAACUGGGGCUGUUU